rnacentral:rRNA from 1 species
GUGAACGCUGGCGGUAGGCCUAACACAUGCAAGUCGAACGGCAGCACAGUAAGAGCUUGCUCUUACGGGUGGCGAGUGGCGGACGGGUGAGGAAUACAUCGGAAUCUACUUUUUCGUGGGGGAUAACGUAGGGAAACUUACGCUAAUACCGCAUACGACCUACGGGUGAAAGCAGGGGAUCUUCGGACCUUGCGCGAUUGAAUGAGCCGAUGUCGGAUUAUCUAGUUGGCGGGGUAAAGGCCAACCAAGGCGACGAUCCGUAGCUGGUCUGAGAGGAUGAUCAGCCACACUGGAACUGAGACACGGUCCAGACUCCUACGGGAGGCAGCAGUGGGGAAUAUUGGACAAUGGGCGCAAGCCUGAUCCAGCCAUACCGCGUGGGUGAAGAAGGCCUUCGGGUUGUAAAGCCCUUUUGUUGGGAAAGAAAAGCAGCAGGUUAAUACCCCGCUGUUCUGACGGUACCCAAAGAAUAAGCACCGGCUAACUUCGUG